rnacentral:lncRNA from 1 species
CUCUUUCCACCUCAAUAUAAAAUAUCCAAUUAGGAAACCCUAAGUUGAUCCCUACAUCCAUUGUUAGCCGUAACUCCCUUUUCUAAGGGUUGCCUACUGCCACCAAAAUUGUCGUGCGCCACCGCCGGUAUUACCUAUUGUCACCUGGAUCUGACGCAAUGACUCUGCAUUACUGACUCAUUCCACGCAACUCGCAAGUAAUACUUAAAAGUCAGGGAGAAGAGAACAAAGCCGUCUAUUUCCCUUUCAUUUUCAUUGACCUUUUCCCAAUUCAAGUUGUACUACUACUAAAUAUUCUAUCCUUUACUUUAUUAUUCUAAUUGAUUGAGAGGGAAGAAAGAGAUUAAAAAAAUUAAGAUGUUUGGGGUGGCUAUACCCAACAGUUCAGAUUUUAGUGGUGGUGUCGUCGUUUACUCCGCCUUUAUUUGGACUUAUCAAGCUUGGAAGGCACCAAUAGGAGCUCUUGUUCGAGGUUUCGGUUCGCAAUUUUUGUAAUUGUUGCUCUGUUAUUCCGAUGAAAUUGUAAAUUUUCAGCUUUAUUUACCAAUAUAUAUAGGUCCAUUCAAAUCCAUUUUUUUAGUAUCUAUUUACAUUUUAAGUAUGCGCUUUAUUUGAUAUAUUAGUAUUUCUAUUUGCUCGUCGGAUUCCAUUUGCUCUAUCGAUAAUACUUUAUCUCUUUCGUAUUAAUUGUGUACCGAUUGUGUAUUUUUCUGAUUAUAUAUUGG